GCGGCACUCCAAGACUUUUUCUUAUGUAAAAAAAAGUGUUUUAUUAGGUUAACGUUUCGGAGUACAUGACCCCGUCAUCAGGAUGUCAUCCUGAUGUCGGGGUCAUGUACCCCAAAAUGUCAACCUGAUAAAACACUUUUUUUCACAUAAGAAAAAGUCUUAGAGUGCCGCCUAUCAUCGAUGUCUAUAUAUAUAUUAUAAAAUUA